rnacentral:lncRNA from 1 species
GGAGUCUGCUUCUCCCUCUGACCCUCCCCCUUCUCUUGAGCACUCUCUUAAAUAAAUAAAUAAAAUCUUUAAUAAAAAAAAAAAAAAAAAAAGACCCCCAAAUGUAGUUUUUCACAGGAGAAGGUUAAAUGAUUAGAGUUGAUUCAGGAGGGUUACAUAUCAAAAUACGUAUUUUUAUUUAGGUUUUUGUAGACCUGAAAUUUGGUUUUUCCCUUUUAUUUAAAAAAAAAAGUUCACAAGUUACGCUUUACAAAAUUAGGCAAAGGCAAAUCAGUAAAAAUGUCCAUUUUGCUCAGUCCAUAUGGAUUUGCUCAGUCCAUAUGGAUUUAAUGAAAGGGCGUGCACACACACACACACACACACACACACACUUCAGAAGUUGAACCACGCUUUAUUUCCAAAAUCAGACAAAGACACAGAUCUGCAAACACAGGCCCCCUGUAACAUUACCGAAGGCGUCAGAUUACACGGCGGGCGGGCGGGGGCCCUCAGCAGCCCCCGUAAUUGUCUCCACGUUCCUGGCCCCGCAUUUCCAGAUUCUGGGACGCCCUCAGACUCCUUAAUGCCCGGCUUUGUCACCCCGCCGGGCCGCGUGAAUGGCAGCCAAGGCUGGAAAGUGAGAGAGCAGGAGAUGUGUUAAUGAAAGCAGAGGUCAGAGUAAGGUGAUGGCUGACUUUGAAGAUGGAAGGCAGCCAUGAGCCAAGGCAUAUGGGCAGUCUCCAGAAACUGGAAAGGCCAAGGACAUGGAUUUGCCAUUGUUUCUUUUUUCUCAGGUUGGCCUGACUGCCUACUGCUUCUUCCUUGACCUUUUUUUUCAAGGAAUCUUAUUUUGUCUUUGAGCCUUGUCCUUUUGAAGUUUACCCUUAGAAUUUUCUUUCUGUCAUCAGAGUGCUGAAAAUUAAGACAGAUUUUUCAGGUGACAGUCUGCCCAGGUAAUGAGAUAUGGUUAAAAGUUGGCAUUUUGUGGGCCCAAUAAUAUUC